AAGAGAAUGGUGUAGUGGUAGCACAUCAGCCUCCGAAGCUGAUAGUCCAGGUUCAAUCCCUGGUUCUCUUG
rnacentral:tRNA from 1 species